rnacentral:misc_RNA from 1 species
UACGGAGGGUGCAAGCGUUGUUCGGAAUUAUUGGGCGUAAAGCGCACGUAGGUGGUCUGGUAAGUCUUUUGGUGAAAGGCCGGGGCUCAACUCCGUGCUUGCCGGGGAUACUGCCAGACUGGAGACAGGUAGAGGCGAGUGGAAUUCCGGGUGUAGCGGUGGAAUGCGUAGAGAUCCGGAAGAACACCAGAGGCGAAGGCGGCUCGCUGGACCUGAUCUGACACUGAGGUGCGAAAGCGUGGGGAGCGAACAGG